rnacentral:lncRNA from 1 species
GUCGCAAAGAGUUGGACAUGACUGAGCAACUGAACUGAACUGAACUGAAAAGGCAGUAAAAAAAAAAAAAUAUAUAUAUAUAUCUCUCUCUCUCUCUCUCUCUCUCUCUCUCCUAACAGUAGAGCAGCUCCUGGCACAGAGUGAGGACUCAGUAAAUGCAAUUAUUAUUUCGCUUUAUGUAUCUACAAAGCAGACCCCACUAGGAGCCCGACAUUCGUCACCUGCUUCAGUCUUCACAAGGGCUCCCUAAGGAAGGUAGAAGAAUGCUUUCCAUCACAGAGGAGAAGAGAGGCACAGAGAGGGUCGGAGGCUUCCCCAAUGUCACACAGCGGGUGCUGGUGGAGCUGGAUGUUUGGAACUGGGCGAAAGGGGUAGGCGGGCGGUCAGAGCCUGACAUCAUCACCGCCGGAUCUAGAGACCUCAUUUUGCUGGGAAGCCUGUGUGAGAGUCAGGCCUGCUCACUCUGCGCCUCAGCUGUGGACCCCUUCCAGGCCCAAGUUUCAGCCUCGCAGACCGAGUCAGGACCUGGGCCUGCCUGCCGUGAGUCCCGUAAUAGAAAAAUGGUCACCAGUGACUGGCCUGAAGGGUCUCCACAAGUCAGCUUGGCCACAGAGUUCUAAAGUGAUUUCCGUCAACCAAUAAACUGGAGAUGCUGGAUGAAAUAAAGCUCUCA